rnacentral:rRNA from 1 species
UGAUUUCACACUGUCAAGAAAAGUCUCUAUCGAGGUUAAAGGUACCCGUACCGCAAACCGACACAGGUGGGUGAGGAGAGUAUCCUAAGGCCAGCGAGAGAACUGUUGUUAAGGAACUCGGCAAAAUGACCCCGUAACUUAGGGAUAAGGGGUGCCACCAUCAGGUGGCCGCAGAGAAUAGGCCCAAGCGACUGUUUACCAAAAACAUAGGUUUCUGCUAAGUCGCAAGA